UGCUCGUUGGUCUAGUGGUAUGAUGCUCGCGUCGGGAGCGAGAUGUCCCAGGUUCAAUUCCUGGACGGGCAC
rnacentral:tRNA from 1 species